GGAUAAUUGGAAUUUUCCCAAUUGUGUUGGGUCAUUUGAUGGAAAGCACGUGCAGAUACAAGCUCCGCCCAAUUCGAGGACUUUCAAUUAUAUUUUUCAAUUAUAAGAAAACCUUUAGUGUAGUGCUAAUGGCAGCAUGUGACUACAAAUAUAUGUUUACGCUAGUUGAUAUUGGAUCAUACGGUGGUAAUAGUGAUGGAGGGAUUUUUACUUCUGAAAUUCAUAUGGCUUUAGAAGAAGGAAGAUUAAAUCUUCCUACAGGGACUGCAAAUCUUCCCGGAAGCAAUAUUAAAGGUUUGUUCUUUAUUGCUACACUGAGUUCAUACUGCACUGCACUGAACGGAACUAGUGCAAGCAGGACAUGUUAUUUGUGAGCAAGUAUAAAGAACGCGUCAGUGUAAUAAUCAACAUGGCGAUGAUCUUAAAUGAUUUAUUUGAUUCUUCUGAUGAUGAAAAAAAUAAUAUGUUGUUUCCAUUUCAACCUAUUAUGCGUAACGAUGACGAUGAUUUUUAUGAGUUACACAUGUUACAUCCAAUUUUCGGAUUAGUGCAAAGAAUUGAACAUGUGAAAAUAAACAAUUAUAUCGAACAUAUUGUUCAUAAUUAUAAUAACGUUGAUUUUAUCAUGCAUUUUCGUUUGUCAAGAAGAGCAGCAUAUCAAUUAAUAGACCAAUUUACAGUGUCGGAAAUAUUUACUUCUAUACAAGAUGUGUAUUUAACGAAAUCUAUUUAACUUUAGAUAUAUGAACGUGUACAAAAUAAUAAAAUUAGCGCUGAAAAACAUAUUUUAUGUUAUUUAUGGUUUGUGGGUCAUCAAACAGGAUCUUAUCGAGAUAUAGCAGAUAGAUUCGGAAUAACAAUAAGUGCAUUACAUACAGUAAUAUCAAGAGUAACCGAUUUUAUUUUAGCUUUAGCGCCUAAUAUUAUUAAAUACCCAACUGAUCUCGAAAAAGAACAAACUUCAAACUUUUAUCUACAACAAAAACGAUUUCCUAAUAUAAUUGUGCUAUCGAUGGUUCUCAAAUAAGAAUAGACAAACCUCUUGAAGAUCCUGAUUCCUAUAUAAAUCGGAAACAAUAUUUUUCUAUUCAAGUGCAAGGGACAGUUAAUCAUGACAUGAAAUUUAUUGACGUAUUUAUUGGGUAUCCAGGUUCCGUUCACGAUGCAAGAGUUUUAAAAAAUUUAACACUAUAUAAUGAUCUACAUAAUAUUUGUGGAGAUAAUUAUUACCUGUUGGGAGAUAGUGCUUAUCCCUGUUUGAAACAAUUGAUUGUUCCAUAUAAGGAUAACGGACACUUGACACGUGCACAAAGAUCAUUCAACCAGAAACUAAGCUCAUGCAGAGUUGUUAUCGAAAAUGCAUUUGGCUGCCUCAAGCAAAGAUUUCGUCAGUUAUACCAUUUUAAAUUGCGAGAUAUACC